rnacentral:lncRNA from 1 species
GUGACGUCUGAAUAACUAAUAUGAUUUUUAACAUUUGAAUAACUACAAGUAGUAGAAUACAUAAGUACUAAUUGGAAGCUUCAUUGACCAAUCAUGUGGAAAAAUAAAUUAAACAUUAUAUUUCAGUAAUCUUUAUACGGUACAACAACAAUAUAUUUAAUGUAAUUCUACAAGUGAUGUCUGAAAAGAAUAGUGUGUACGGUGAUAUUAAUUACCACCACUUUCAAAGGUAUUUUGGUUGUUUCAGAUAAACCCUCAUCCUUUUACGGUGUGAUCAUGAAUACAUAUAUUUUCAAUUUAAAAAAAAUAAAAGAAUAAUAAAUGGUAGAAAUAAAGAAUUUACAAAUUACAAAGAAUGAUAUAUUCUAAUUAAAUCCCAAAAGAAAUAUAUUAAUUUCAAGAAUUGUUUUAUUCUCUAAUUGAAUUUUUUAUAAUUUUUUUUUUUUCAUUUUGAGCCAAAAUGCAUCUACCUUUUUUUCUUCCACCAGGAAUAUUUGUGCAUGGAUUUGCACCUUUUGAUGGAAUUGAACCUCUUGGAAGUGAUUGAAUAAUUAAAUUAAUAUUCUUCUUUAACCAAAGUUGAUCACCUUUUAAUAUCCUCAACGCACUUACAUUAUUAUUGUGUAAGUUGAAGAAAAUGAGGAUUGAUAUGAAGAAGACAAUUUUGCAAUAAUAGGUGUAUUGCUUGAAUAAUGACAUUGUUGUUGUCAUGUUAAAAGACAAGAUUACCCUUGGUACGACCGGAGAACUGGAUAGGUCAAGAGUUUUGAGACGUGGAACGAUCUCUUUGUGGAAAUGCAAGAGAAAGACCUAGUGUGUGUGUAUGUGUUUGAUCACUCUCUCGUAGACCCCUCGGUGUUGGAAACGAGCUAAGAGAAGUCUCGUUGAAAGUAGGAACUCAGGUGAAGUGUGCAGGUCAAGAAUUCGAGAUGAGGAAACAGAUUCUUUGUAGAAAUGCAAGAGAAAGACCUAGUGUGUGUAUAUAUGUGUUCGCUCUCUCGUAGACCCCUCGGUGUUGGAAACGAGCUAAGAGAAGUCUCGCUAAAAGUAGGAACUCAGGUGACGUGUGCAGGUCAAGGACUCGAGACGAGGAAACAGAUUCUUUGUAGAAAUGCAAAAGAAAGGCCUAGUGUGUGUAUAUAUGUGUUCACUCUUUCGCGGACCCCUCGGUGUUGGAAACAAGGUCAAGGAUUCGAGACGUGGAAACAAAUUCUUUGUAGAAAUGCAAGAGAAAGACCUAGUGUGUGUGUAUAUAUGUGUUCACUCUCUCGUAGACCCCUCGAUGUUGGAAACGAGAUAAGAUCAGAAGUCUCGUUGAAAGUAGGAACUCAAGUGAAGUGUGUAGGUCAAGGAUUCGAGACGUUAAAGGAUUGGUGUGUGUAUAUAUUUCACUCUCUUGCACACCCUUCGGUGCUGGAAACGAGCUAAGAAAAGUCUCGUUGAAAGCAGGAACUCAGAUUGCGACGACUAUUUUGGUGAGAAUUAAGUUGUAGUGAAUGAGAUG